rnacentral:lncRNA from 1 species
AUGACUAAAGACAAGGCUGGUUUCUGCUGGAAUCAGAGCCAGUGGCCAGAGGCAGCUGAAUUCAGGGAGACCUCUUGUGCACAUUUGAACAUUAGAAUCGACAUUGAGUAUACCAGGAUUCUCAAUGUAAAAGUCUACCUCCUCCCCUUUUCAGUGUGUAAGACUGAAGGGAUUGGGCCAAUGAGCCCUGGAAUCACAUGGGGGGGCGGGAGAAGUGACUUAGGCAAGGGUUGCACCUACAGUAAGAAUCCUUUAUCUACAGGAUCGGUAUCAGCUGAUUCACUUAUCUACUGUCUGAAAAUAUUUUAUAUGCUAUAUGUAUAUGAAGUUGCAAGAACUGGCCACUGGAGGGAGCCAGAAAUCCCGCUACCCUGUUUCCCCGAAAAUAAGACAGGGUCCAAAAAUAUGCAUUAGGGCUCAUUUUCAGGGGAUGUUUUAUUUUACAGUCAUCUUCUGGUUGCUGCACAAGGGUGGAGGGCAAGGUUUGACUUCACUUGGGCUUAUUUUUGGGGUAGGGUUUAUAUUACGAGCAUCCUGAAAAAUCCUACUAGGGCUUAUUUUCAGGUUAGGGCUUAUUUUCAGGGAAACACAGUAUUUACAGUAUAGCCUUUACUAGAGAAAUUUCCUUGAUGUCAAUACCAGAAUUGGCCACUAGUGCCCUGUGUUUUUCAGUAUCCACCAGGGCUGGGGGGGGCGAAGGGGAGGCCCUCCUGUAAUUUGAUGAUGUUAUGUGGAAUCACAUUAGAAGAACAAAUUUUCUGGAUCACCAGGCGUGUAAUUCUCAGGCUUACAUUUCCAGCUGUGCAAAGGGAGUAAAAAUAGCAUUCGCCUAACUUAAAUUUAAAAUCCAAAUUAUUUUAGAAAUCAGAAUCACUUCUAAAGAGCAGUAUUGCUACAGAAAUAGUGCAUCAAGGAAUUACAUGCAGUAUUUUUAUAUUUAAAGUCUAGUAAAGGUUAGGGAGGUCCCUUAACUCCACCAAGGCCCCCACACGCAGGAGAGACAGUCACACAGCAGAGUCCGGCAUGGCGACCAUGAUGACAUCUCUUAUCAAUUCAUCUGUUAAUCUUUUGCUCCAGUGUCAUCUUUCUGGUCUUUUCUCUAAAACCAUUUGGCAGAUUAAAUGUGCAGCACCUACGACAAGGCUGGCAUGUAAAACAUUACAAACAGUAUAAAAUCUCUUGAAAGUCAUUUGCAUUUUAAAUAAAUAAUUUUAAAUACACCUUUUCUUUAUUCUA